ensembl:lncRNA
AGCCUAACUAUAAUGCCCUGAGAUGUAGUUACUUGCUUUCGCUUCAAAAUAACUACAUAUGCUGAGAAAAAAGAAAAGUUCAUUGUGCACAACUAUAAGUACAUUCUGAUUCAUUUUUCGGUUAGCCCACAUAUGGUUCAAUACAGUGAACUUACUUUUCUGCAUGUGUGUUUGAGACCAGAAGAUAGCAUAUUAACCUUUUAAAAUGUACAUUUAAAAUUUUUAUAUUUACAUUUGGAUGACUUUACCAAUAACUAGGACUAUUUCAAAAAUAAAGUGUAGGUGCCUGACUCACAUAUACUUGACCAAGAAUAAAUGAGGUCAUGAGUACAUGACCAAAGUGAGUUCUCUAAGAUUGACAUGUUUUUUCCUGCUUCCCUCUUAGAAAUAUUGAGGGAAAAAUCUAGAACUUUUAAAAUAGACCUUUUGUCCCUACCUCCAGCAAUCAAAAGUUAUGAAACAUUAAGGCCCAAUCUCAGAAUAAUCCACUUACUCUGGUUUUUGUUUUGUUUUGGCUUGCAAGCUAAAGAAAUAAACUUCAUCCUGCCAUCUUGAGCAAAAAAAAAAGAUAAUUGGAUUUAUUGGAGGGAUACUGAGGAAGAUUAGCCCUGAGCUAACAUCGGUGCCCAACUUCCUCUACUUUAUAUGUGGGACACCUGCCACAGCAUGGCUUGAUAAGCAGUGCAUAGGUCUUCACCCGGUAUCCAAACCUGCAAACCCUGGGCCAUGAAAGUGGAAUGUGCGAACUUAAUGGCUGUGCCACAAGGCUGGUCCCAGAAAGCGAUUUUUAAUAAUCUGGAAUUAUUUAUGAGAUAGGGAAGCAGUGAAUAUGGGUGGAGACAAUACUCUGCUCCUAAAAUCAUUUUCUAAAGUUUCCAAAUUCAUUCCCACUUUUAGCAGAACAAGAAUUUUACAUUCCAAUAACAAAAAGUAACAGAAACUUCUGCUUUAAUCUAUAAGGGAAGAUUUUGUAGCAGAACAAAAUUGCUACCAAGAAAAACUUGAAAAGUUAGACAAAAUAAAAAAGACCACCUGUGUGAAAGCAUUAGGGAGUUACUAAGGCAGCCAGGGGCCAAGGGGCCAGAUUGUGAAGAGAAGAAAGCUACCCACACUCAUAAUAUGGUCAACGCAAACCACUCCUCCUGCCUUUUUUUUUUUUUUUAGCAUAAACUGUUCAUGAAAGCAAAAAAAUACACAUAGAAAAGUGCACAAAUCAUUAGCAUAUAGUUCAAUCAAUUUUCUCAAACUGACUUUUUUCUGUAGUGUGAACAUGCUGGUGAUUGAUUUUUUCAGUUUUUGUGUAUCUGAAAAUAUUUUUGCCUUAGUUUCUGAAAGGAGUUUUGCUGCCAUAUAGCAUUCUGGUUACUUCACUGUCUUUUCCUUUUGUUUCUUCUCCCCAAAGCUCCCCAGUAUAUAGUUGCACAUUUUAGUUGUGGGUCCUUCUAUUGUGGCACGUGGGCUGCUGCCUCACCAUGGCCUGACGAGCGGUGCCAUGUCGGCGCCCAAGAUCCGAACCAGUGAAACCCUGGGCCACUGAAGCGGAGUGUAUGAACUUAACCACUCAGCCACGGGGCCAGCCCUCCACUGUCUUCUUGCUUGCGUUGUUUCCAACAAGAAAUCUGCUGUCAUCCUUAUCCUUGUUCCUCAGUAGGUAACACAUAUUUUUUUUUUCUCACUUGCUCUUUUUAAAGGAACUAAGUCUGUCCCUUCAAGUUAUGUUCUCCAGGAAGCUGACUGUGAGACAGGGUUUUGUGCAAGGAAGUUAUGAGGGGGCAGCGUGUGAUCAACCCCUGUGGAGUUGGAAGGAAGCAGGAUUGGGAAAAGGGAAACCCUUAUGUGGAGUUCUGAGCUAAAAUGGCCCAUCAGAGGUAUCCUGCUUUGGGCCAAAAUGGCAGGGCCUUACUCCCAGCUUGAUUGGUCAUGAUAUGUGGGUUGCCCAAGAAAGAGAAAGAACUUGGUGGGAGGCAGCUCUCCACAGCUGAGGGGAUCCCUAAAAGGGCCGACUAAACAUAGCCCACCAAGCAAUGGGGCAGCAAACUCUCACUUGAGCGGGAGAUCUGGAGAUGGUGCCCCACCAUUUCGACUACAUCUGUGGAUACAAUCACAGGAAUUAUUCAUUCAUUUCGUGGAGGAGAGCAGAGACCAGACACCCAAAUAGUGUCUAUUGCCAUAACUUUUUGGUGACACAGUUGAGAAAAACUAUUCGUUUCCUUUUAAAAUAAUUGUGAUAAAAUAUACACAGCACAAAAUGUACCACUUUAACCAUUUUUAGGUGUAUAGUUCAGUGGCAUUAAGCACAAUGACAUCAUUGUGCAGCCAUCACCACCAUCGACCUCUGGGAUUUCUUCAUCUUCCCAAACUGAAACUCUGUCCCCAUUAAACAAUAACUCCCAUUCUCCCCUCCCCUAGACGUUGGCAGCCACAUUCUACUCUCAGUCUUUAUGAACUUGACUACUCUAGGUAACUCACAUAAGAGGCAUCAUUCAGUAUUUGUCCUUUUGCGUCUGGCUUAUUUUACUUAGAACAAUGUCUUCAAGGUUCAUCCAUGUUGUACCAUGUACAAGAAUUUCCUUCCUUUUGAAGGAUGAAUAAUAUUCUAUUGUAUGUAUAUACUACAUUUUGUUUAUCUAUUCAUCCACUGAUGGACAUUUGGGUUGUUUCCAACUUUUAGCUAUUGUGAGUAACACUGCUAUGAACAUUGGCGUACAAAUACGUCAGUUGCCUUUAAAUUGUUUUCAGUGACUAGUAAAGGAUAAAAGAGAACAAGAGACCAAAAUGUGAGCUAUGAACUUCAACUGGUGAGAUUCAGAGUCAGACUGAGUGAGAACAUGCAAACUAAGUGAGAAUUAAAAACCGGUUUGCAAAUCAGGUUAAUGUCUUAAAACGAAUUGUUCGGCUUUCAAAAGAAUAAAAGCCCACAAAAAAAUCUAAACAAUCUCAUGUUCUCUCCACCCCAGCCAAACUGGAUAUAUGCCAUUUCCCAAACACAGGUUGUGCUUUCUGCUUCUCUGCCUUUGCCCAUGUUGUUCAUUCAGCCUGCAGAAAGCUUUUCUCAGAGCAUCUGUGAUAGCCAACUCUGACCUGCAGGUCAGAACAGAGCAAAAUGCCAAUAAUUAUUUUCCUAAUCUGAGGCGAUUUCAUUUAGCAUCUUUUUACUCCACUGCUAAAGUCUAUUUCGAUUUACUCCCAUAUUUCUCACUUUUUUCUUUAAAUAUUACAUUAUCCAUAUUACAGCCAAGGAUUCUUGCACAUUCGAGAUUGUAAGGCCCUUAUGGUUAUUCACUUAUCGAUGACCAGUCCUGUGUCAUCUGCAGUCAAUAGGCAGCCCCAGCCAACACCACUGUCUGGCUACCUGAUGAGAUUUGCAGUUGACAUUUGUUAUUCUUUGGCCUCCCAGCGUCUACUCCUCCUCUUAUGGCAUC